ACGCUCGACACCUACGGGAGUCAGCAGUGGGGAAUAUUGCACAAUGGGGGAAACCCUGAUGCAGCGACGCCGCGUGAGUGAAGAAGUAUUUCGGUAUGUAAAGCUCUAUCAGCAGGGAAGAAAAUGACGGUACCUGAGUAAGAAGCCCCGGCUAACUACGUGCCAGCAGCCGCGGUAAUCUGAGCGGGCUGGCAAGGC
rnacentral:rRNA from 1 species